rnacentral:rRNA from 1 species
UACGUAGGGUGCGAGCGUUUGUCCGGAAUUAUUGGGCGUAAAGAGCUUGUAGGCGGUUUGUCGCGUCUGCUGUGAAAUUUCGGGGCUCAACCCCGAACUUGCAGUGGGUACGGGCAGGCUAGAGUGUGGUAGGGGAGACUGGAAUUCCUGGUGUAGCGGUGAAAUGCGCAGAUAUCAGGAGGAACACCGAUGGCGAAGGCAGAUCUCUGGGCCACUACUGACGCUGAGAAGCGAAAGCAUGGGGGAGCGAACAGG